CCGUAUGUCCUAUACUUUCGACUUUAUGUCAAAGUUGACUCGCGGAACAGAACAGGUUAAACAAAAUGUCGACGUCGACGAUGAUCUAACUGUAUCCUACCUUUGAUAACGCGUGUACAAGAUGCACACACGGUCCGCGUGAGCAUGUUUGUGCAUAAUACACGAAGCGCGUGCACGUAGACGCGUCACGUAGCCGUGCGUGCAACAGUACACGGCCGAGAAGCAAUUAUGUACGACGGCAAUGAUAAUCCCCGGUUGUAACUACGCGGGUAACUAUAUCGCGCUGCAGUAUAUACCGUGACAACUACACCGCGUAGUCUACGGGUACAGUUUAUAUGGGAGUCGGUCGUAUAACGUUUACGUCAUACGAGGCGAGCUGCUGCUUCUCCGAGAGCUUGCAUGCGGAAACGCACCCGUAACUCGUCCCUGUGUCUACGAUCGCGCUUAAUUGGCUGCGGAUUUCGGAUCCUUGAAAUUCAGACGAUUUCGGAGGAUUAACUUUGGAUUUUGGAAUCCUGCUGACGUUUUUCGCAAUUUAAAACGAGUAUACUAAGUGACGUUGUUGGAAUUUCUCUUUCAAAUUUCCCAGAUAUUACAAUCACGUAUAACGGUUAAAAUAGUCGAAUUAUGUCGUUUCUAAACCAACGAGUGAAAGUAAAUACAUGCAAUUAAGAAAAGGUAAAUCGUGUAAACACGAAGUUUCGGAAAGAAGUACGUAAAAACUAUUCUCGUUUCAUGUUUUAUUCAUCCAGCAUGUUUAAAUAAUGACUCGACAGAGUUCAAUUUAUUCCGUCCAUGUUCGGAAAAUGGACUACAUAUUAUUGUUGCAUCGUGUCGAACUCGAUCGAGUCGUAGGCAUUCGUUGCCGCUGACAAAUUUCUCGCAUAUCUGACCGACACACCGGCUAAUUCGCAAUCUAAACUGCACACUAGUGCACACCAGCAAUCAUCUGCACGGAUUCACGUGGGAGCACAGUGUAUCUAGUGAGAGUAGACGAUUGAAACCGGUUUCUCCUGCUUUCAGACCGAGUAAUUUCGUUAGUUCGCGCGGCAUCCUCUUCUCUCCUCGUGCCACGGACAAGGGAGAAAGCUAUUUCACCAUCACGAUCACUCCCGUUCGGCUGCAUCGUUCUCAAAUUGUCUAGCUUCAAAGAAUUUCUAAAACGAACAGGUUUUUUCAUCGUCUUCCACUAUAUUUUCUAUUUCUUUAUUUUGGAAGGGACCUUCUAUUCGAUAUACACGAUUGUUUUUGUAAUCAACGUUUUUGUUCUUUUCUUUUCUUAAUUCGAUUAGGUUAUAGGGUAAGCAGGGUUCUUUAAGUCAGAGGAAUACUUUAAUCGAGCAAAAUACGAUUAUAAAUAAUUUUUAAGAAAUCUACAUUUGAAAAUACGAUGUUACUGAUUGACGUGACAAACACAGUGAAAUAUAUCGUAUGCUCAUAUUUAUCGAGAAACUUCUAUUUAUCAAAACGAAAGAUUCAAAAGUAGCUGGCACAGUGAGACAAAUAUCUGAAUGACCUAUUUUUCGAAUUCUGAGGAAACUUGAUAUUAGCGAAAACGAUCUACUCGGAUAAAUCGAUGGUUGAGUAUCAAACUUGUGACGAGCUGACGUUCCAUAAUGACGGAGGGAACCUUGUAAUGCUUCCUCGACCAUGUGGCUAUCGAUUAUAAAAUGUAAGAAUGAUCCAUCAAAAAUAGAACGCUGCAACAGUAACACGACGCCCUCAAACACGAAGAUUCAAUCUACAAGAAGCUAAGGGAAACGUUCGAACGAUAAACAAUUGCCCUCAAAACGUCGAAAAAACUUAGUAAAAUUUUAAAUAAAUUAUCUAAAAAAAACCACUCGAGGAGUUAGAAUGAUAAAUGGUGUAUGUAAGUGCCGGAAGCGAAGAUUUACAGCAGAAACAAGUACUGCGUUUCUACUAAUUCUAACUUAUUUCUGAUACUUCAUUCAUCACUUGAACGCUAUGAACAUUCAAUGAUUAUCACUGAUAAAAAAAAAAAACGCUUUAUUCUAAAAUAAUGGUACACAUGUACAAAUAUUUUUUAUCCGCUAUAUAGUAAAUUUACAUCUCUUUUCACUAAGAAAAAGUCUUUUACUCGUUUCUUUAACGUCUACGUCAUUUGCCAUUUCGACUCGAUUUAUCUGCUUAUCGAAAAUACUCGUAAUCCUUUACGGAAGUGAGAAUGAAAAUGCGCAACGACGAAA